GGUUAGCCUGCAGCGCGCCGGCUGGGCUCUGCCAACUCAUGCAGAGCUCCACCGCUACCUUGGGCGGUGCACCACCGCUGACACUGGAGGAAACUUUUCUCAUUCGUUUUUCAUUCCAAGAAUCUUUUCCUCAUCUCUCUUCACUAGAUUUUGCCACUUGGCCCAAAUCCAACGGUUCUGAAAUUCUAUAAAUUGUCAUUACCCUUCCCUUCCUCUCCACACUUCCAUUUCUUUUAUUUUUAAAAAUUUAUAGAGAGAGAGAUAUAUAGUAAAAUAACGAGAGAAGAAAAAGAAGAAAGGAAAAUAGUGAAGGAGAAAAUAUCGAGGUUUCGGU
rnacentral:lncRNA from 1 species